CGCAUCAUAUUGAAACACUAGUUCCUGUAUGAUCACUGAAGUUAAGCAAUGUUGAGCUUGGUUAGUACCUAGAUGAGUGACUGUUUGGGAAUACCUAGUGCUGCAAG